rnacentral:rRNA from 1 species
UACGGAGGGGGUUAGCGUUGUUCGGAAUGACUGGGCGUAAAGCGCGCGUAGGCGGGCUGGAAAGUUGGGGGUGAAAUCCCGGGGCUCAACCCCGGAAUGGCCUUCAAAACUCCCAGCCUAGAGUUCGAGAGAGGUGAGUGGAAUUCCGAGUGUAGAGGUGAAAUUCGUAGAUAUUCGGAGGAACACCAGUGGCGAAGGCGGCUCACUGGCUCGACACUGACGCUGAGGUGCGAAAGCCAGGGGAGCAAACGGG